rnacentral:tRNA from 1 species
GCCCGGGUGGCGGAAUGGCAGACGCGGGGGGCUUAAACCCCCCUUCUCUUACAAGGGAGUAUGGGUUCGAGUCCCAUCCCGGGCACUA